rnacentral:rRNA from 1 species
AUUGAACGCUGGCGGCAGGCCUAACACAUGCAAGUCGAGCGAGCGGCGGACGGGUGAUUAAUGUAUGGGGACUGCCCGAUAGAGGGGGAUAACUACUGGAAACGGUAGCUAAUACCGCAUACUAUCGGAUAACCCAUAUGGGAUUGGCUAAGAGGUGAGGUAAUGGCUCACCUAGGCGACGAUCCCUAGCGGGUCUGAGAGGCGGAUCAGCCACACUGGGACGGAUACACGGCCCAGAGUCCUACGGAGGCAGCAGUGGGGAAUAUUGCACAAUGGGCGGAAGCCUGAUGCAGACAUGCCGCGUGUAUGAAGAAGGCCCUAGGGUUGUAAAGUACUUGCAGUCGGGAGGCGUUACCGACAGAAGAAGCACCGGCUAACUCCGUGCCAGCCGCCGCGGUAAUAC